UAAUUUGCUAUUCGGUGACAUAAGAGGGGGAGUGCGCUUCGCUUUCCCGGGGUCUGGGGCUCAUUUCUCCUCUCUUCCCCAUAAACUCAGCUCCUCCGAGCUCAAAACACAAAAGGAAGCGAGAGGUUCGAACCUUUGGGAAAAGUCUGUUAUAUAUAGUAGGUUUCGGGGCGAGUAAGAGCAAAAAAACAAUAAACACCACAGCUCUUUCCAGCUAGAAUAUUAGGCACCACGAGAAAAAUAUUUGCCAAGCAGUUUUCGCCUCCACCCGCAGAACCCUUUGAGCUGCCUGAAAUCCGAGUCAUUAAACUGUUCCCUGAGGUCAGACCACAGAUGCCCCCGUGCAUGUUUCGUCCAUGUCAACGUCUAUGUAACACAUGUACAUACAGAGACACACGCAGAAAACUGUGUAACUCUGCGGGGGCACAGUGUGAGGUGGAUUCUUCACCAGCUGAGCCACCAGGGAAGCCAAAGAAUACUGGAAUGCAUAGCCUAUC